UGCUCGUAGAGCAGCGCGGCGGCGCGGCGAAUUUCUCCUUCGCCGGGCAGGAAGACGAGAAUGUCGCCUUCGUCCUGCUCCAAGGCGUUCAG
rnacentral:tRNA from 1 species